GCGUAGUCGAUGGGAAACGGGUUAAUAUUCCCGUACUUCUUACAAUUGCGAUGGGGGGACGGAGAAGGCUAGGUGGGCCUGGCGACGGUUGUCCAGGUUCAAGUGCGUAGGCUGAGUGUUUAGGUAAAUCCGGACACUCUUAAGGCUGAGACACGACGUCGAGCUACUACGGUAGUGAAGUCAUUGAUGCCAUGCUUCCAGGAAAAGCCUCUAAGCUUCAGAUUGUAAGGAAUCGUACCCCAAACCGACACAGGUGGUCGGGUAGAGAAUACCAAGGCGCUUGAGAGAACUCGGGUGAAGGAACUAGGCAAAAUGGUACCGUAACUUCGGGAGAAGGUACGCUCUUGAUGGUGAAGUCCCUUGCGGAUGGAGCUGACGAGAGUCGCAGAUACCAGGUGGCUGCAACUGUUUAUUAAAAACACAGCACUGUGCAAAAUCGUAAGAUGACGUAUACGGUGUGACGCCUGCCCGGUGCCGGAAGGUUAAUUGAUGGGGUUAGCGUAAGCGAAGCUCUUGAUCGAAGCCCCGGUAAACGGCGGCCGUAACUAUAACGGUCCUAAGGUAGCGAAAUUCCUUGUCGGGUAAGUUCCGACCUGCACGAAUGGCGUAAUGAUGGCCACGCUGUCUCCACCCGAGACUCAGUGAAAUUGAAAUCGCUGUGAAGAUGCAGUGUACCCGCGGCUAGACGGAAAGACCCCGUGAACCUUUACUACAGCUUGGCACUGAACAUUGAACCUACAUGUGUAGGAUAGGUGGGAGGCUUUGAAGACGUGACGCCAGUUGCGUUGGAGCCGUCCUUGAAAUACCACCCUUGUAUGUUUGAUGUUCUAACGUUGGCCCCUAAUCGGGGUUGCGGACAGUGCCUGGUGGGUAGUUUGACUGGGGCGGUCUCCUCCCAAAGAGUAACGGAGGAGCACGAAGGUGGGCUAAUCACGGUUGGACAUCGUGAGGUUAGUGCAAUGGCAUAAGCCCGCUUAACUGCGAGAAUGACGGUUCGAGCAGGUGCGAAAGCAGGUCAUAGUGAUCCGGUGGUUCUGAAUGGAAGGGCCAUCGCUCAACGGAUAAAAGGUACUCCGGGGAUAACAGGCUGAUACCGCCCAAGAGUUCAUAUCGACGGCGGUGUUUGGCACCUCGAUGUCGGCUCAUCACAUCCUGGGGCUGAAGUCGGUCCCAAGGGUAUGGCUGUUCGCCAUUUAAAGUGGUACGCGAGCUGGGUUUAGAACGUCGUGAGACAGUUCGGUCCCUAUCUGCCGUGGGCGUUGGAAGAUUGAAGGGGGCUGCUCCUAGUACGAGAGGACCGGAGUGGACGAACCUCUGGUGUUCGGGUUGUGUCGCCAGACGCAUUGCCCGGUAGCUAAGUUCGGAAUCGAUAACCGCUGAAAGCAUCUAAGCGGGAAGCGAGCCCUGAGAUGAGUCUUCCCUGAUACUUUAAGUAUCCUGAAGGGUUGUUCGAGACUAGAACGUUGAUAGGCAGGGUGUGUAAGCGCUGUGAGGCGUUGAGCUAACCUGUACUAAUUGCCCGUGAGGCUUAACCAU
rnacentral:rRNA from 1 species